rnacentral:rRNA from 1 species
UACAGAGGGUGCGAGCGUUGUCCGGAAUCAUUGGGCGUAAAGAGCGUGUAGGCGGUUCGGUAAGUCGGCUGUGAAAGUCCAGGGCUCAACCCUGGGAUGCCGGUCGAUACUGCCGGACUAGAGUUCGGAAGAGGCGAGUGGAAUUCCCGGUGUAGCGGUGAAAUGCGCAGAUAUCAGGAGGAACACCGGUGGCGAAGGCGGGUCUCUGGGCAGUAACUGACGCUGAGGAGCGAAAGCGUGGGGAGCGAACAGG